rnacentral:misc_RNA from 1 species
GUCCAAUGAUUUUUCUUUCAAGUUUUAGUUAUUCUAUGUUGCACAAAGUUGGUGCUUCUGUUUAUUAUGGACAAGAUUGGUGUUAAAUUAGUUAACAAAGAAUAGGUUAUUGUUAAAUUAUCAAACAUUUGACCAGUUUGCAGCAUUGAGUUGUUUUAUUUUGUAUCACUCCUACUUAUUUACUUCACUUGUGCUAAUCAUUUUCUUCAUCUUCUUUGCAUGAACCUUCUUGUCUGAGUCCAAUUGGACUCCCCUCUUUUACAUCUUUCUUUCCUUGAGUCAACCUCCAUCGAAGUCGUGAG